rnacentral:tRNA from 1 species
CCGGUCGACCGCAUGGUGCGGAAGCGGCCUGUAAAGCCGCCGCCUUCGGGCACAGGUGGUUCGAUUCCAUCCGGCCGGA